rnacentral:rRNA from 1 species
CAACUCGGCUGCAUGAAGCUGGAAUCGCUAGUAAUCGCGGAUCAGAAUGCCGCGGUGAAUACGUUCCCGGGUCUUGUACACACCGCCCGUCACACCAUGGGAGUUGGAAAUGCCCGAAGUCAGUGGCCCAACCUACGGGAGGGAGCUGCCGAAGGCAGGUUCGAUGACUGGGGUGAAGUCGUAACAAGGUAUC